UACGUAGGGUGCGAGCGUUAAUCGGAUUUACUGGGCGUAAAGCGUGCGCAGGCGGCCCGUUAAGACGGGUGUGAAAUCCCUGGGCUCAACCUAGGAAUUGCGCUUGUGACUGGCGGGCUCGAGUACGGUAGAGGGGGGUGGAAUUCCUGGUGUAGCAGUGAAAUGCGUAGAGAUCAGGAGGAACACCGAUGGCGAAGGCAGCCCCCUGGGCCUGUACUGACGCUCAUGCACGAAAGCGUGGGGAGCAAACAGG
rnacentral:rRNA from 1 species